rnacentral:rRNA from 1 species
AGUAGUUUGAUCAUGGCUCAGAACGAACGCUGGCGGCAUGCCUAACACAUGCAAGUCGAACGCCCGUAGCAAUACAGGAGUGGCAGACGGGUGCAAAACGCGUGGAAACCUAUCCUUGGGUUCGGAAUAACCGCGGGAAACUGCGGCUAAUACCGGAUACGUCCUUCGGGAGAAAGAUUUAUCGCCCAUUGAGGGGUCCGCGUCUGAUUAGCUAGUUGGUGAGGUAAUGGCUCACCAAGGCGACGACCAGUAGCUGGUCUGAGAGGAUGAUCAGCCACACUGGAACUGAGACACGGUCCAGACUCCUACGGGAGGCAGCAGUGGGGAAUAUUGGACAAUGGGCGCAAGCCUGAUCCAGCAAUGCCGCGUGGGUGAUGAAGGCCUUCGGGUUGUAAAGCCCUUUUGGCGGGGACGAUGAUGACGGUACCCGCCGAAUAAGCUCCGGCUAACUUCGUG